UACAGAGGGUGCAAGCGUUAUUCGGAAUCACUGGGCGUAAAGGGCGCGUAGGCGGUUUGGUAAGUCUGGUGUGAAAUCCCUGAACUCAAUUCAGGAAGUGCAUUGGAUACUGCUAGACUAGAGUACUAGAGGGGUGAGCGGAAUUCCUGGUGUAGAGGUGAAAUUCGUAGAUAUCAGGAGGAACAACGGAGGCGAAGGCGGCUCACUGGAUAGUUACUGACGCUGAAGCGCGAAAGCGUGGGGAGCAAACAGG
rnacentral:rRNA from 1 species